rnacentral:rRNA from 1 species
GCUUUAUAGAUAAUUGAGAUUUAAUUGAUUUAUGAAAUAAAAAUUGAGUUUAAUUAUUUUAUUUUAUUGGGGUGAUAUGAGUAUAAUUGAUGUUAACUGCUUAUAAGGGAUACUGUAAUGAUAGAAUUAUAAAUGAUGAUCCUUUUUAAAGAUUAAAAGACUAAGUU